rnacentral:tRNA from 1 species
GCCGGGAUGGCGGAAUUGGUAGACGCGCACGACUCAAAAUCGUGUUUCCAAAAGAAGUGAGAGUUCGAUUCUCUCUCCCGGCA